rnacentral:sRNA from 1 species
GAUUAAACCUGAUAGCAGUGAAAUCCUUUUUUGUUGUAAAUCAAUCAGGUUAAUGCUGCCAUUCAUAAAAAAGAUUGAACGGAUAGCAGGACGAAAA